rnacentral:rRNA from 1 species
GACGAACGCUGGCGGCGUGCUUAACACAUGCAAGUCGAACGGAAAGGCCCUGCUUUUGUGGGGUGCUCGAGUGGCGAACGGGUGAGUAACACGUGAGUAACCUGCCCUUGACUUUGGGAUAACUUCAGGAAACUGGGGCUAAUACCGGAUAGGAGCUCCUGCUGCAUGGUGGGGGUUGGAAAGUUUCGGCGGUUGGGGAUGGACUCGCGGCUUAUCAGCUUGUUGGUGGGGUAGUGGCUUACCAAGGCUUUGACGGGUAGCCGGCCUGAGAGGGUGACCGGCCACAGUGGGACUGAGAUACGGCCCAGACUCCUACGGGAGGCAGCAGUGGGGAAUAUUGCACGAUGGGCGGAAGCCUGAUGCAGCAACGCCGCGUGCGGGAUGACGGCCUUCGGGUUGUAAACCGCUUUCGCCUGUGACGAAGCGUGAGUGACGGUAAUGGGUAAAGAAGCACCGGCUAACUACGUG